rnacentral:rRNA from 1 species
UGGGGAAUAUUGCACAAUGGGCGCAAGCCUGAUGCAGCCAUGCCGCGUGUGUGAAGAAGGCCUUCGGGUUGUAAAGCACUUUCAGCGGGGAGGAAGGCGUUAAGGUUAAUAACCUUGGCGAUUGACGUUACCCGCAGAAGAAGCACCGGCUAACUCCGUGCCAGCAGCCGCGGUAAUACGGAGGGUGCAAGCGUUAAUCGGAAUUACUGGGCGUAAAGCGCACGCAGGCGGUUGAUUGAGUCAGAUGUGAAAUCCCCGGGCUUAACCCGGGACUUGCAUCUGAUACUGGUCAGCUAGAGUCUUGUAGAGGGGGGUAGAAUUCCAUGUGUAGCGGUGAAAUGCGUAGAGAUGUGGAGGAAUACCGGUGGCGAAGGCGGCCCCCUGGACAAAGACUGACGCUCAGGUGCGAAAGCGUGGGGAGCAAACAGG